GCUGGGCGUGGUGGUGCACGCUUGUAGUCCCAGCUACUCAGGAGGCUGAGGCAGGAGAAUUGCUUGGAUCCAGGAGGCGGAGGUUGCGGUGAGCCAAGAUCUCGCCACUGCACUCCAGCCUGGUGACAGAGCAAGACUCUGUCUCAAAAAACAAACAAACAAAAAUUAGCUGGGCUGAGGUGGGAGGAUCACUUGAGCCUGAGAUGUCGAGGCUGCAGUGAACUGUGUUUGUGCCACUGUACUCCGUCCUAGGUGACAAAGCGAGACCCUGCCUCA
rnacentral:sRNA from 1 species